AACUUGCAGGGAGGGAGCGGUUUGAGGUUGGGCAUGAAGGGAACCCCCGGUUUCCACCGAAUCCCUUUUCCCAGGCUCACCUGCUGGCAACGGGCACAGAGUUUCUUUGCUCUCCCCCCGCCCCCCAUCCCUGCGCCCGGCACGCUCGGGGCUGUCUGGACUCCCAGGGUGUGGGAGAGCUGUGCCACUCGCCUUCACAGAUAACAUAAAUAAAGCGUCGUCCAAAGCAGACAGACACUUGGGCAAUUCUUUUGGAACAUUCCGUCCCUAUGUUCCAGUAAAUUGUUGCAUCAGUGGAGAUGAACAGCAGGAAAGAUUGUGCAGGAGUGAGUCGGGGCGGAUUAGCACAGGGCAGAAGAGCCUUGCCCGGAGGGAGACCGCACACGGCCUGUGAUCGGCCUGCACGGGGGUCCUUGCGGAGGGAUGUGCUCUCCGUGGGCAUCUGGGCUGCUCUCUGCUCCGCAGUGACCUGGGGGAGGACCCGGGGCAGCAGCUGGGAACAUUUCGGAAGCCACUUCCGGGACAACCCCACUUCUCUAAGGACUGGAAGGGAGGGAUCAGGUGUUGGGAUCCUCUGACUCUGUAAACGUCAGGAAUGAAUUUCAGUUCCUGCCUCUGUCUCCUAACUGGUGGCACAGGAGGUCCUAGGCGGUGUUGGCCGAAGGUACAGAAGGUGCGGAAGGUGAGACUGCGUGUCACCGUGGGUCGCAAAGGCAGAGGAAAUUAACACACAGACUGUGAUGUCAGUGCUACAGGUCAGGGAACCAGUUUUGGGGGCACGUGUGGCUCGGCCAAGGCCCCAAUGGUUGCCUGACGGAGAAACUCCACCUGCCCGGCCACCUGACUCUCCUCUGCCUUUCCUGUCCCUGCAACAUAGACAGCAGCUCCUGACAGGACCCGAGGGUGCUCCCUGGCACUUUCUGGCGUGUUUUGUAUUGGGGGAAAGGAGGAUGUCAUGUUGACAUGAGCUAGGAAAGAAUGUCUUCCUCGCUUCCUGGAAAGAAAUGAGGAAAGAACGUGUAAAUCUCAAGAACGCUGGGGCUCCUGACUGGCUCAGUCUGUUAAGCAUCUGACUCCUGAUUUUGGCUCAGGUCAUGAUGUCACGGUUCGUGAGUUCGAGCCCCCCAUCGGGCUCCGCGUCGGCAGUGCAGAGCCUGCUGGAGAUUCGCUGUCUCCCUCCCUCCCUCCCUCUCUCUCUCUCUCUCUCUCUCAAAAUAAAUAAACAUCUAAAAAAUAAAAUAAAUAACUCUCAAGAACUCAGAAGCCCCCUUUGGGAGCACUGAGGGCCACCGCAGGCCCACCUGGGGAGUGGGGCAGAGAGUCCGUGGGCCGCAGAGUGAGGGUGUGUUAAGACGGGGGGAGGGGGUAGUCUGGGGUCGGCUCCUCCGUGUCUGCCCCCCGGCAGCCCCUGAGCUGUUGAGCGGCCCGGGGGUGGGUCACUGUCCUCAUUCAGACCGUGUGACCCGUCUUAAUAGCACCUGUUCUGAGGGCCGGUGUGAUCUGGGCCCCUAGCCAGUGCCUGGUGCUCACUCUUUCAUUAAUGUCGGUAAUCCUACUUCGCACAUUUGCAUCGCUGCCAAUAUUCUGUGGCAGCUGAUCCCCGCUUCUGAGAAGGCCAGUCACAGACGUUCUGUGGACACCUGGAUAUCUGUCCAGUGACAGUAGCAAGACGAACGUCCGGCCCCACGGUUUAAACAGGCAUAAAAUUCGGCAAAGCCUUGGGAGGGAUCGUCGCCUUCUUCCCUGGAACCUGGGGAAGCCGUGGGGGCAGCAGACCCAUUUCCGAGAGGCACCCUCCCGGGAAGCACCUCCCCAGCCACCCGAUCCCGGCAUCUCGCUGAUGUAAACAUAAAGCGGAAGCCACGCAGGGGUGCGCAGCACGGAUGCACCUGUUCCGUGCUUUAAAACUUUCCCAGCGCCGUUCGGCGAGUACUCAGUCCUGCCCGGACACAGACGCCAUUUCGUUUCCCUGUUAGACACAGGGCGUCCGGGAUACGACGGCCACCAAGCAAAAUCCCGCUGGUUCUCUGCGUGAAGAGUCUCGCUUCGCAAGAAUUCAGAACACCUUGACCAUCACGUGGCCUUGCAGCUUCUGUGGGACUUGACCCCCUACGUGGCACCACUCUUAACCCAUCACUUAUCUGUCCAUCUCCAUCCACACUUGUCCACAGCAGUCCUGCAGGAGCUCGGAGCUGUUGAGAUGCGUUCCCAGGUGACAGUGAGGUGUGGGGUGAGGAAGGACACGCAGAAAUACUCUGACCCACAGAAAAGGGAGCGGUACUCUCUGCCUCCAGUCUAAGAAUAGUAGUUGGGCGAGUUUUACAUGCCCAUAAGUUCCUAAGUCCGUCCUUACUGUGUGGGUCUGUAUUACCCAGAAUCUAACCAAAACCAAAGUCAAUUCUAACGGUCUCUCUUGUCACAUGUAUUCAUUUAUUUUAAUGUUUCUUUCUUUUUUUUUUAAAGUUUAUUUAUUUUUGGGACAGAGAGAGACAGAGCAUGAAUGGGGGAGGGUCAGAGAGAGGAGACACAGAAUCUGAAACAGGCUCCAGGCUCUGAGCUGUCAGCACAGAGCCCGACGCGGGGCUCGAACUCACGGACCGCGAGAUCAUGACCUGAGCCGAAGUCGGCCGCUCAACCGACUGAGCCACCCAGGCGCCCCAAAUGUUUCUUUAUUUUUGAGAGGCAGAGAGAACCAGAGCGUGAGCGGGGGAGGGGCAGAGAGAGUGGGAGACACAGGAUCCGAAGCAGCUUCCAAGCUCCGAGCCGUCAGCACAGAGCCCCACGUGGGGCUCGAACCCACGAACCGUGACAUCAUGACUUGAGCCGAAGUUGGAUGCUUAUCUGUCUGAUCUCACAUUUAAAAAUGGCCAGGGGCCCUGGGGUGGCUCAGUUGCUUAAGCGUCUGACUCUAGAUUUCGGCUCAGGUCAUGAUCUCACAGUUCGCGAGGGGGAGCCCCGCCGGAGCUCUGUGCCGCCAGCAUGGAAGCCGAGUGGGAUCUCUCUCCCCUUCUCUCUGCCCCUCCCCACUCGCUCUCUCCCGCAAAAUAAAUAAAUAGAACUUGAAAAAAAUACAUAAAUCUUUCCCCAACCAUGCUUCUCA